GUCCAGGGAUGGGAAUCGAACCCACAGUGUGCCGCUUACCGGACAAAUGCCAUAUCCACACUAAGCUACCCUGGA